GGUUGAUCCUGCCAGUAGUCAUAUGCUUGUCUCAAAGAUUAAGCCAUGCAUGUCUAAGUAUAAACAUCUUUAUACAGUGAAACUGCGUACAGCUCAUUAUAUCAGUUAUGAUUUAUUUGAUGGUGAAAUACAUUACAUGGAUACCCGUAGUAAUUCUAGAGCUAAUACAUGCGUAAAGUCCCGACUUUUCGGAAGGGAUGUAUUUAUUAGAUACCAAAUCAAUCACUUUUUGUUGUUGUUGAUGAGUCAUAAUAACUGCACGGAUCGCUUGUGGGCCUUGUGCCCUGCGACAG
rnacentral:rRNA from 1 species